UGUUGCUGGUCGGAAGACAUGUGCACGCUUGUCCUCUUUAUUUUUCCAACUGUGCACAUAUUGUAGACCUUUUUGAGGGAAUGAUGGCCAAGGUCUAUGUUACAUUUAACAACUUGUUGUAGAAUGGGGGAUAUGAAACAAAUAUACAACUUUCAGCAACGGAUCUCUUGGCUCUCGCAUCGAUGAAGAACGCAGCGAAAUGCGAUAAGUAAUGUGAAUUGCAGAAUUCAGUGAAUCAUCGAAUCUUUGAACGCAUCUUGCGCUCCUUGGUAUUCCGAGGAGCAUGCCUGUUUGAGUGUCAUCAAGUUCUCAACCAUACCUCGGUGUGGCUUGGAUUUGGGGGUUUUUGCAGGCUUCAAAGAAAGUCGGCUCCCCUGAAAAGCAUUAGCGGUGUCCGAGUACCUUUGGUGUGAUAACUAUCUAUGCCUUGGUGUAUACGAUGCAUGCUGCUUCUGAACUUCAUUUUUAUUGACAAAUUUGACCUCAAAUCAGGUAGGAUUACCCGCUGAACUUAAGCAUAUCAAUAAGCGGAGGAAAAGAAACUAACAAGGAUUCCCCUAGUAACUGCGAGUGAAGCGGGAAAAGCUCAAAUUUAAAAUCUGGCGGUCGUUGGCCGUCCGAGUUGUAAUCUAGAGAAGUGUUACCUGUGCUGGACCGUGUACAAGUCUCCUGGAAUGGAGCAUCAUAGAGGGUGAGAAUCCCGUCUUUGACAUGGACUGCCUGUACAUGAUGGUGCGCUCUCGAAGAGUCGAGUUGUUUGGGAAUGCAGCUCAAAAUGGGUGGUAAAUGCCAUCU
rnacentral:rRNA from 1 species